AAACGCCUACAUAAGUACGUAUGUUACAGAAUGUGUCACAACUUCUCCAGCCAACCGAAGAGACGCAAGAUGGCAAACUUAUCAACCGUGCUCAGAAAACUAGUUGUAUUCAUGAUGCUUGUGUCAAUGGUAUUAGUCGGCGUAGAAUCUCUGAGAGGACGAAGAUCGGAGUUUCGUCGAAGCAGAUUUGGAAUGGCUCUUCAUUAAACUUCUUGGAAAUAUGGAAUGUCGUGCUGUGAGGUCAUUUAUUAUACAGGGAGCAACUAUACGCAAUAAUCGAAUGAAUAAAAUACUAUAAUCCAUGGCAAA